rnacentral:rRNA from 1 species
GAUGAACGCUGGCGGCGUGCCUAAUACAUGCAAGUCGAGCGAACAGACGAGGAGCUUGCUCCUCUGACGUUAGCGGCGGACGGGUGAGUAACACGUGGAUAACCUACCUAUAAGACUGGGAUAACUUCGGGAAACCGGAGCUAAUACCGGAUAAUAUAUUGAACCGCAUGGUUCAAUAGAGAAAGACGGUUUUGCUGUCACUUAUAGAUGGAUCCGCACCGCAUUAGCUAGUUGGUAAGGUAACGGCUUACCAAGGCAACGAUGCGUAGCCGACCUGAGAGGGGGAUCGGCCACACUGGAACUGAGACACGGUCCAGACUCCUACGGGAGGCAGCAGUAGGGAAUCUUCCGCAAUGGGCGAAAGCCUGACGGAGCAACGCCGCGUGAGUGAUGAAGGUCUUCGGAUCGUAAAACUCUGUUAUUAGGGAAGAACAAAUGUGUAAGUAACUAUGCACGUCUUGACGGUACCUAAUCAGAAAGCCACGGCUAACUACGUG